rnacentral:rRNA from 1 species
GAUCAUGGCUCAGGAUGAACGCUGGCGGCGUGCCUAAUACAUGCAAGUAGAACGCUGAAGCUUGGUGCUUGCACCGAGCGGAUGAGUUGCGAACGGGUGAGUAACGCGUAGGUAACCUGCCUCUUAGCGGGGGAUAACUAUUGGAAACGAUAGCUAAUACCGCAUAAAAGUCGACAUUGCAUGAUGUUGACUUGAAAGGUGCAAUUGCAUCACUAAGAGACGG